rnacentral:misc_RNA from 1 species
GUAGGUGAACCUGCGGAAGGAUCAUUACAGAGUUCAUGCCCUUAGGGGUAGAUCUCCCACCCUUUGAGUACUAUACUUUUGUUGCUUUGGCAGGCCGCUUCGGCUACCGGCUUAGGCUGGUGAGUGCCUGCCAGAGGACCCCAAACUCUGAAUUGUUAGUGUCGUCUGAGUACUAUAUUUUAAUAGUUAAAACUUUCAACAACGGAUCUCUUGGUUCUGGCAUCGAUGAAGAACGCAGCAUCUGACUGAC